CCUACGUGGGGCAGCAGUGGGGAAUAUUGCACAAUGGGGGAAACCCUGAUGCAGCGACGCCGCGUGAGUGAAGAAGUAUUUCGGUAUGUAAAGCUCUAUCAGCAGGGAAGAAAAUGACGGUACCUGAUUAAGAAGCCCCGGCUAACGACGUGCCAGCAGCCGCGGUAAUCCGGAGGGGGCAAGCGUUAACCGGAUUGACUGGGUGUAAAGGGAGCGUAGACGGCAGCACAAGUCUGGAUUGAAAUGCCGGGGCUUAACCCCGGAACUGCUUUGGAAACUGUGCAGCUAGAGUGCAGGAGAGGUAAGUGGACUUCCUAGUGUAGCGGUGACAUGCGUAGAUAUUAGGAGGAACACCAGUGGCGAAGGCGGCUUACUGGACUGUAACUGACGUUGAGGCUCGAAAGCGUGCGGAGCAAACAGGAUUAGAUACCCUUGUAGUC
rnacentral:rRNA from 1 species